rnacentral:lncRNA from 1 species
AGAACUCUGCGGUUUUGUGGAGCUCGAGAGUCCGGGACAAGGUAGACGCAGGAUAUUGACCUUUUUAUUUUUAACUGCAUUUUCAGUUUGGAGGUUGUAAAAUAGGUAUAACAUUUAAGAAAAAAAAUUGAAAGGUGAGUGGAGGGAAAACCCGUAACUCCUUAAACUUUAAAAACUUAUUUCUCUGUUCCCUUAUUUAUUUUAUUUAUUUAUUUAUUUAUUUAUUUAUUUAUUUUGCCGAGUGCUGCCAAUUCUUUGAAAAUAUGAAGCUGGAUGUGGUGGGAAGAACAAGCGUUUUGGCACAAAAAGAUGAUUAAUUGGAUAAACUAUAAAUGGAAAAUGUGGGUGGGCGCUGCAAUUUAGAGGCUUGGGGUCUACUACCUGGUGAAAGGAUUAACAUGGGAAGCUAGUUACGUUUUUGUUUCUUGAGUAUCUUCUGUAAUUAUGGAACUAAAGCCUAUCUGGAAGAGACACAGCUGGUGUAUAUGUAUGGUCCACCAUUCUCUUUAUUAUGUGAGUUCAGUUUUAAUUUAUGCAUUUCAUCUAGUAUGACAUAAACGUUUCCACGCUGCUUCCUCACAAUUUUAACAUUUAAUGGUGAGAUAAAAUUCCAUCCAUUAUUGAUGCCUCAGCCAAAGUAAUUGUCCCUCUGCUGCACAAUGCAAAGUUUUUAAGUUUUACUAUGAAAAUAAUAUUGUAAAGAGUAUCUUUUGUGUGUUUGGCUUUUUAAAUCUGUUGAAUUAUUUUGUUUGUAUAAUUUUCCUGAACUAGGAAUUUGGGGUCAAAAUAUUCCAAAACAUUUUAAUAACUAUAAAUGAUGUUGCUUUCCAAAAUGAACAAGCUUACAGCACUAUCAGAAUACACAACACCAAACCAUACCAUUUUUUUUCCUUUAAAUUCUUUGGUAUGAAAUGUUACCCCUAGGUAACUAUACUUAUAAUUCUUUGGUUACUAUCAAGAUCUGAUGUCUUUCUUGUGUUUCUAAACUAUCUCUGUGUCCUCUGAUGUAAAUUCUUUGUUUAUAUAUUUAUGUUUUGCAUAUGAAUUUGAAUAAUAUAUUUAUAAAUAAGUAACAUUAGCCUUUGCCAUAUUUUAUGCUAUUGCUUUUCCCAUUCUCUUGUCUCUCUUUUCCUUUUAUUUGUUUCUUUUGCUAUUGCACUUUGUGAGAGGUUUCAUGCUAUUUAGUCAAAUUUAGGUUUUCCGUUACGUGAAUCCUAGAAAGUAAAUACACUGCCAGAAUAUCUUCCAUGUAUUCAUUAAUUCAACAGAUAUCUAUUGGAUGCUGAUGAUUAUGAAACAAAGUAGCAAAGAUAAGAAGCCAUUUGCUCAUUCUGCUCCUUUGCCAGCAAUAUUUCACAAAGCCCCUGACUCAUUGACUGUGAGCAGCCUUGUGGAAGAAUGCCUUGAAGACCAUAAGCAGGAUAGGGAAUAGGUUUGCACAUCUCUUGCCUGAAUCACUGAAUUUUUACAAAAGAUGUAACUUCAUACCCACACUUUGAUGAGACUUUACUUGUAUUAACCCAUUUUCAUACUGCUAUGAAGAAAUACCCAAGACUGCAUAAUUUCUAAAGAAAAAGGCUUAGUGGACUCACAGUUCCACAUGGCUGGGGAAGCCUCACAAUCAUGGUAGAAGAUGAAGAAGGAGCAAAGGCACAUCUUACAUGGCAGCAGGUGAGAGAGCAUGUGCAGAGGAACUACCCUUUAUAAAACCAUCAGAGGCCAGGUGCAGUGGCUCACACCUGUAAUCCUAGCACUUUGGGAGGCCGAGGCAGGCAGAUCAUCUGAGGUCAGGCAUUCAAGACCAGCCUGGCCAACAUGGCAAAACCCCAUGUUUCAAAAUUAGCUCAGUGUGGGGGCACAUGCCUGUAAUACCAGCUACUAGGGAGGCUGAGGCAGGAGAAUCGCUUGAACCUGGGAGGCAGAGGUUGCAGUGAGCCAAGAUCACGCUACUGUACUCCAGCCUGGGCAACAGAGCCAGACUUUGUCUCAAAAAAUAAAAUGAAAUAAAAUAAAAAUAAAUAAAUAGAUAGAUAAAUAAAACCAUCAGAGCUCGUGAGAACUCACUACCAUGACAACAUGAGGGUAACUGAUCCCAUAAUUAAAUUACUUCCCAUCAGGUCCCUCCCUUGACACUUGGGGAUUAUGGGAGCUACAAUUCAAGAUGAGAUUUGGGUUGGGACACAGCCAAACCAUAUCAUUCCACCCUGGCCCCUCCAAAAUCUCCUGUCCUCACAUUUCAAAAGCAAUCAUGCCUUACCAGCAGUCCCCCAAAGUCUUAACUCAUUUCAGCAUUAACUCAAAAGUCUACAGUCCAAAGUCUCAUCUGAGACAAGGCAAGUCCCUUCUGCCUAUGAGCUUGUAAAAUCAUAAGCAAGUUAAGUUACUUCCUAAAUACAAUGGGGGUACAAGCAUUGGGUAAAUACACCCAUUCCAAAUGGGAGAAAUAGGCCAAAAUGAAGGGACUACAGGGCCCAUGCAAGUCCAAAAUCCAGCAGGGCAGUCAAAUCUUAAAGCUCCAAAAUGAUCUGCUUUGACUCCGUGUCUCACAUCCAGUUCACGUUGAUACAAGAGGUAGGUUGCCAUGGUCUUGGGCAGCUCUGCCCCUGUGGCUUUGCAAGAUACAGCCUCCUUCCCAGCUGCUUUAACAGGCUGGCAUUGAGUGUCUCUGGCUUUCCCAGGCAUAUGCUGCAAGCUGUUGGUGGAUCUACCAUCCUGGGGUCUGGAGGAUGGUGGCCCUCUUCUCACAGCUCCACUAGGCACUGCCCCAGUGGGGACUCUGUGUGGGGGAUCCCACCCCACAUUUCCCUUCUGCAUUGCCCUUCUGCCUUAGCAGAGGUCGUGCAUGAGGGCCCUGCCCCUGCAGCACACCUCUGCCUGAACAUCCGGGUGUUUCCAUACAUCCUCUGAAAUCUAGGCAGGGUUCCCAAACCUCAAUUCUUGACUUCCGUGCACCCACAGUCCCAAUAUCACAUGUGAGCAGCCUGAGACUGCACAAAGCAGCAAGGCCCUGGGCCCAGCCCAUAAACCCAUUUUUCCUCCUUGGCCUCCUGGCUUGUGAUGAGAGGGACUUCCAGGAAGACCUCUUACAUGCCCUGGAGACAUUUUUCCCAUUGUCGUGGUAAUUAACAUGUGGCUUCUUGUUACUUAUGCAAAUUUCUGCAGCAGGCUUGAAUUUCUCCGCAAAAAAUGGGUUUUUCUUUUCUAUCACGUCAUCAGGCUGCAAGUUUUCCUUUUAUGCUCUGCUUCCUCUUGAACGCUUUGCCACUUAGAAAUUUCUUCCCUCAGGUACCCUAAAUCAUCUCUCUAAAGUUCAAAGUUCCACAGAUAACUAGGGCAGGGGCAAAAUGCCACCAGUCUCUUUGCUAAAGCAUAGCAAGAGUGACCUUUAUUCCAUUUCCCAACAAGUUCCUCAUCUCCAUCUGAGACCACCUCAGCCUGGACUUCUUUGUCCGUAUCCCUAUUAGCCUUCUGAUCAAAGCCAUUCAACAAGUCUCUAGGAAGUUCCAAACUUUCCUACAUCUUUCUGUCUUCUGAGCCCUCCAAGUCUCUAGGAAGUUCCAGAGUUUCCCACAUUUUCCUGUCUUCUUCUGAGCCCUCCAAACUGUUCCAACCUCUGCCUGUUACCCUGUUCCAAAGUUGCUUCAACAUUUUCUGUUAACCUUAUAGCAGAGCCCCACUACCUCAGUUCCAAUUUACUGUAUUAGUCCAUUUUCAUACUACUGUGAAGAAAUAGCCAAGACUGGGUAAUUUAUAAAGAAAAAGAGGUUCAGUGGACUCACAGUUCCACAUGGCUGGGGAGGCCUCACAAUCGUGACAGAAGGCAAAGGAGGAGCAAAGACACAUCUUACCUGGCAGCAAGGCAAGAGAGAGAGCAUGUGCGGAGGAACUGCCCUUUAUGAAACCAUCAGAUUUCCUGAGAUUUAUUCACUAUCAUGAGACCAGCAGGGGAAAAACUUGCCCCCAUGAUUAAAUUACUUCCCACCGGGUCCUACCAUUGACACAUGGGGAUUAUGGGAGCUACAAUUCAAGAUGAGAUUUGAGUGGGGACACAGCCAAACCAUGUCAUUAAUGUAAUUUCUGAGCACAUUUGAUGUAACUUCUUAACACAUGCAGAGCAACCACCACCUAUGUUUAAGCUAUGGGGUGAAUCAAUGCUUUGCAGCAAUAUAACAAACUCUUUGAAAGAUUCUCCCAGGUUGCAGUACUCAGUAGGACUUCUGAAUAAAAUUAACUUUAAUUAUUUAAAAGCCUGUUUUUUUUUCUUUAGUUGACAUAACAUACCAGGAUAUUGUAGCUGGAAAUACAUAGGAGGUUCUUGCUCUCACGAACCUUACAUUCCAGUAAGGAAAACAGACAAUAAGAAAAAAGAAAAAUGAAUACAAUAAAUUCUCAUGGUGAUACAAAUAAGGUAAGAUGACAGAAACUGAAGGGAGAGGGAGACACUACUUCAGUGAGGUGGUCAGUGAAAACCUCUCUGCAAAGGUGGUGUGAAAUCUGAGACCUGAAUGACAAGAAAGAACUAGCGAUGCAAACAUCUGCGGGUGGCACAUUUCUAAUAUUUAUUUUUUACUAGUUUUAUUUUGUGUUAAUUUUACGUUUAACUAUCUGGAAUAUAUUUUGGUACAGGAGUCCCCCUUAUCCAAGGGGGAUAUGUAUCAAGCCCCCCAGUGGAUACCUGAAAUCACAGAUAGCGCUGAACCCUAUAUGUACUGUUUUUUCCUACAUAUAUGUAUCUAUGAUAAAGUUUAAUUUAUAAAUUAGGCAUAGUAAGAUAUUUACAAAAAUAAUAAUAAAAUUGAACAGUUAUAACAAUAUACUGUAUAAAUCUUAUGUGAAUGUGAUCUCUCUCUCUCUCAAAAUCUGCCAUACUUACCUAUUGCCAGACCACAGUUGACCAUGGCUAACUGAAAUCAUGGAAAGCAAAACCACAAAUAGGGAGGGCUACUGUAUGUUCUAUAAGAUAAUAUGUGAAUUGUCUAUUGCUACAUAACAAACCACCCAAAACUUUGUGAUGUGUCCAAGCCCAAGGAUGCAAGGUUUCCAAGCUUCCAGAUCCCAAGGAUACCAGGAAACAGGAUUCCCAGGAGGCCAUUGCUAUAAUGAUCUACCACUAUUUUUACCAAAACUGGUAUUUGUAUUAGGCUGUUCUCCCAUUGCUGUAAAGAAAUACCUGAGACUGGCUAAUUUGUAAAGAAAAGAGGUUCCAUAGGCUGUACAGGAAGCAUGAUGCUAGCAUCUUCUCAGCUUCUGGGGAAGCCUCAGGAAACUUACAAUCAUGGUGGAGGGCAAAGUGGGAGUCAGUACGUCACAUGGCCAGAGCAGUGAGAGAGGAGGGAGGUGAUACACACUUUUUAAAUGGCCAGAUGUCAGGAGAACUCACUAUCCUGAGGACAGUACCAAGGGAGAUGCUGCUAAACCAUUCAUGAGUAAUCCACUCAUCCACCACCACGAUCCAAUCACCUCCCACAAGGCCCCACCUCCAAUAUUGGGGAUCACAACCCCACAUGAGAUUUGGGUGGGGACACAGAUUCUGUAUCAGUGUUGUUAUUCAAAAAAUUUUGUACAUAGUCCUUACCUUUCCCAUUUCCUUGUGAUAUUCCUUUAUGAAAUUGUUAGAAGAAAUAGAAUAUUUCAGCUGGGUGCAGCCGGUAAUCCCAGCACUUUGGGAGGCUGAAGCGGGUGGACCAUAUGAGACCAGGAGUUCUGAGAUCAGCCUGGCCAACAUGGCGAAACCCCAUCUCUACUAAAAAUACAAAAAUUAGCUGGGCGUGGUGGUACAUGCCUAAAAUACCAGCUACUUGGGAGGCUGAGGCACGAGAAUUGUUUGAACCUGGGAGACAGAGGUUGCAGUGAGCCAAGAUCGCACCACCGCACUCCAACCUGGGCAACAGAGCGAAACUGUCUCAAAAAAAAGAAAAAGGCGGUAUUUCUAGGUAUUCUGUUCCUUCUACACAACUAUUUUGAGGCCAGUGCCAUGUUAAUUAUUGUUGCUUUUAAUAUGUCCUAAUAUUUAACCAUUAGGGCUAACCAUUUUGCUAUUUCAUUUUUCACAAAAUUAUUGAUUUCACCUGAAAAUUUUCUAACCAAAUUUUACACAAAUUUGUUCAAGUUAAAAGAAAUGCUACUUGGAUUUUUAGUGGGAUUAUACAAAAUCUAUUAAUAAGUUUAAUAGAAACUGACAUCUUUAUAUUUACUCUUCUCAUCUGAGAACAUGGAGAUCUAUUUAUUUGAGAGAUUUUAAAAAAUUAUUUUUGGCCAGGCACAGUGGCUCACGCCUGUAAUCCCAGCACUUUGGGAGGCUGAGGUGGGCAGAUUGCCUGAAGUCAGGAGUUCGAGACCAGACUGGCCAACAUGGUGAAACCCCAUCUCUACUAAAAAUACAAAAAAUUAGCUGGGCGUGGUGGUGUGCACCUGUAGUCCCAGCUACUCAGGAUGCUGAGGCAGGAGAAUUGCUUGAAUCCGGGAGGCGGAGGCUGCAGUAAGCCAAGAUUGCGCCACUGCACUCCAGCCUGGCGACAGAAUGAGACUCCAUCUCAAAAAAAAAAUUAUUUUCAGUAAAACUUUAAGCCAC